UGGCUCAGUGGUAGAGCAUUUGCCUUGCAUGCAUGAGGCCCUGAGUUCGAUUCCUCAG
rnacentral:tRNA from 1 species